UACGAAGGGGGCUAGCGUUGCUCGGAAUCACUGGGCGUAAAGGGUGCGUAGGCGGAUUUGUAAGUCAGGGGUGAAAUCCCGGGGCUCAACCUCGGAACUGCCUUUGAUACUGCAAAUCUCGAGUCCGGAAGAGGUGAGUGGAAUUCCUAGUGUAGAGGUGAAAUUCGUAGAUAUUAGGAAGAACACCAGUGGCGAAGGCGGCUCACUGGUCCGGUACUGACGCUGAGGUGCGAAAGCCAGGGGAGCAAACGGG
rnacentral:rRNA from 1 species